AGAAACUGUACUCAAAGAGCUAUACUGAAGGAAGUCAACUGCACCUGCACCUGAUUUCGAUGAUGAGAUGCUGGACUUCAUGAGAUGAGACUUCUGGUGACUUUGGGAGGAACUCUAUCUCUUGAAUAACCCCCUGUUGGAGAAGCAAGCUGCCAUGUUGAAUGCACCUCUAAGGAGAAGACCACCAGGCAGAAUACUUACGUCUCAGGCCAGCUAGGAACUGUGUUCUGCCAACAACCAUGUGAGUGAAUGUGGAAGUGAAUUCUUCAGCUCUACUCUGGCCUUGAGAUGACUGCAGCUCCAGCCAAUAUCUUGACUGUAACCUCAUGAGAGGCCCUGAGCCAGAACCACCUGGCUAAGCCACUCUCAGAUUACUAAACCUCAGGAACUGUGUGAGAUAAUAAAAUUUUUGUUGUUUUAA